GAUGAAGAACGUAGCGAAAUGCGAUAAGUAAUGCGAAUUGCAGAAUUCAGUGAGACAUCGAAUCUUUGAACGCACAUUGCGCCCUGUGGUAUUCCGCAGGGCAUGCCUGUUCGAGCGUCAUUUCAACCCUCAAGCCUCGCUUGGUGUUGGGCCCUGCCCGCCGCGGCCGGCCCUAAAGAUAGUGGCGGCGCCGCCUGGCCCUCAGCGUAGUACAGCUCUCGCUCCAGGGUCCGGCGGCAGCCUGCCAGAACCCCCCCACUCUGUGGUUGACCUCGGAUCAGGUAGGGAUACCCGCUGAACUUAAGCAUAUCAAUAAGCGGAGGA
rnacentral:misc_RNA from 1 species